AUGCAGGCAGGAGUCGAUCUACUUGUCUCAGACAUGAUUCCUAUAUACAUGAUCAUACCUAGAUAUUCUCAUAACUAUGCUCAAUUCUGUCAAUUUCUCAAUAAUUUGUUCACCCACCGUAGAACACUUAUGCUCUUGAGAGAAGCCACUAGUGAAACCUAUGGCCCCCGGGUCUAUCUUUAUCAUGUUGAUCUCCUACUACUUAGUUAUUUCCUUUGCUAUUUACUUUGCCUUUAUUUUACUUUGCAUCUUUAUCAUAAAAAUACCAAAAAUAUUAUCUUAUCAUAUCUAUCAGAUCUCACUCUCAUAAGUGGCCUUAUAGGGAUUAACAACCCCUAUUUGCGUUGGCUGCGAGGAUUUAUUUGUUUUGUGCAGGUAUGA
rnacentral:rRNA from 1 species